UCAGUAGGAGCUUAGGCUC
rnacentral:snRNA from 1 species